rnacentral:rRNA from 1 species
CGAUGCGGCAGGCCUAAUACAUGCAGUCGAGGGGUAACAUUAGUACUUGUACUAGAUGACGACCGGCGCACGGGUGCGUUACGCGUAUGCAACCUACCCAUAACAGGGGGAUAGCCCAGAGAAAUUUGGAUUAAUACCCCAUAGUACUAUAAAGUCUCAUGAUUUAAUAGUUAAAGAUUUAUCGGUUAUGGAUGGGCAUGCGUGUCAUUAGCUAGAUGGUAAGGUAACGGCUUACCAUGGCAACGAUGACUAGGGGGCCUGAGAGGGUGAUCCCCCACACUGGUACUGAGAUACGGACCAGACUCCUACGGGAGGCAGCAGUAGGGAAUAUUGGUCAAUGGAGGAGACUCUGAACCAGCCAUGCCGCGUGCAGGAAGACGGCCUUAUGGGUUGUAAACUGCUUUUGAUAGGGAAGAAAACGGCUAUGCGUAGCUACUUGACGGUACCUAUAGAAUAAGCACCGGCUAACUCCGUGCCAGCAGCCGCGGUAAUACGGAGGGUGCAAGCGUUGUCCGGAUUUAUUGGGUUUAAAGGGUACGUAGGUGGCCCAUUAAGUCAGUGGUGAAAUGCUGCAGCUUAACUGUAGCACUGCCAUUGAUACUGGUGGGCUUGAGUAUUGUUGAGGCAGGCGGAAUUUAUGAUGUAGCGGUGAAAUGCAUAGAUAUCAUAAAGAACACCGAUAGCGAAGGCAGCUUGCUAAGCAGUAACUGACACUGAUGUACGAAAGCGUGGGGAGCGAACAGGAUUAGAUACCCUGGUAGUCCACGCCGUAAACGAUGCUAACUCGAUGUAUGCGAUAUACUGUAUGCGUCCCAAGCGAAAGCGUUAAGUUAGCCACCUGGGGGAGUACGCUCGCAGGAGUGAAACUCAAUGAAUUGACGG